rnacentral:rRNA from 1 species
UGCAAGUCGAGCGGACCGACGGGAGCUUGCUCCCUUAGGUCAGCGGCGGACGGGUGAGUAACACGUGGGUAACCUGCCUGUAAGACUGGGAUAACUCCGGGAAACCGGGGCUAAUACCGGAUGCUUGAUUGAACCGCAUGGUUCAAUCAUAAAAGGUGGCUUUUAGCUACCACUUACAGAUGGACCCGCGGCGCAUUAGCUAGUUGGUGAGGUAACGGCUCACCAAGGCGACGAUGCGUAGCCGACCUGAGAGGGUGAUCGGCCACACUGGGACUGAGACACGGCCCAGACUCCUACGGGAGGCAGCAGUAGGGAAUCUUCCGCAAUGGACGAAAGUCUGACGGAGCAACGCCGCGUGAGUGAUGAAGGUUUUCGGAUCGUAAAACUCUGUUGUUAGGGAAGAACAAGUACCGUUCGAAUAGGGCGGCACCUUGACGGUACCUAACCAGAAAGCCACGGCUAACUACGUGCCAGCAGCCGCGGUAAUACGUAGGUGGCAAGCGUUGUCCGGAAUUAUUGGGCGUAAAGCGCGCGCAGGCGGUUUCUUAAGUCUGAUGUGAAAGCCCCCGGCUCAACCGGGGAGGGUCAUUGGAAACUGGGGAACUUGAGUGCAGAAGAGGAGAGUGGAAUUCCACGUGUAGCGGUGAAAUGCGUAGAGAUGUGGAGGAACACCAGUGGCGAAGGCGACUCUCUGGUCUGUAACUGACGCUGAAGCGCGAAAGCGUGGGGAGCGAACAGGAUUAGAUACCCUGGUAGUCCACGCCGUAAACGAUGAGUGCUAAGUGUUAGAGGGUUUCCGCCCUUUAGUGCUGCAGCAAACGCAUUAAGCACUCCGCCUGGGGAGUACGUCGCAAGACUGAACUCAAAGAAUUGACGGGGCCGCACAAGCGGUGGAGCAUGUGUUAAUUC